rnacentral:rRNA from 1 species
CCUACGGGGAGCAGCAGUGAGGAAUAUUGGUCAAUGGACGAGAGUCUGAACCAGCCAAGUAGCGUGAAGGAUGACUGCCCUAUGGGUUGUAAACUUCUUUUAUAUGGGAAUAAAAUGUUCCACGUGUGGGAUUUUGUAUGUACCAUAUGAAUAAGGAUCGGCUAACUCCGUGCCAGCAGCCGCGGUAAUACGGAGGAUCCGAGCGUUAUCCGGAUUGAUUGGGUUUAAAGGGAGCGUAGGUGGAUUGUUAAGUCAGUUGUGAAAGUUUGCGGCUCAACCGUAAAAUUGCAGUUGAAACUGGCAGUCUUGAGUACAGUAGAGGUGGGCGGAAUUCGUGGUGUAGCGGUGAAAUGCUUAGAUAUCACGAAGAACUCCGAUUGCGAAGGCAGCUCACUGGACUGCAACUGACACUGAGGCUCGAAAGUGUGGGUAUCAAACAGGAUUAGAUACCCCAGUAGUC